AGCCCUGAGGUGUUCCCACAUGUCAGAUUGCAAACCUGAAGUAAUAGGCUAACGCCUAUCGGGGCUU